ensembl:processed_transcript
CUCGCCCCGACUGGGUCCCAGAGAAGCUGGGAGGGGACCCCAGAGGAGAUCUUCAGAGGGGCAGGGCGGAGGCACACAAAGCUUUUCUCUCCUCCCUCUCCUCGCUCCGGCCACGCCCCUCCUCUCCUCGGCCUCCUCUUCCUCCUCCUGGGCGGAGAAUCCUAGUUCUACUCGGUCACUGACCUGCCGGUCGCCCCCGCCUCCCGGAUCUGCACCAAGGGCGCAAGAUGGAGACCUGAGACAGAGAUUUCUGAACUUCCACCGGGAAAGAUCAAAUGUGCGAGCCUUCAGAGCUCUGCAGCAGACAGCCCGAGCUGAAGAGAGAGGAGAGAGAGAGAGAGAGAUGCUGGCCUGACAGGUAGGUAAAAAUGAGAUGAUGAAACCCAGGACUCAUCAACCCGGGGAGGUAGUUCAUUUCCAGCCCUGUCAUUAAGCCUGGGAUUAUAUUCUGAGCCAGCUUUAGAAGGUUGCCGUGGAAACUGAUUCCCUUCACGAUGUCGCAGGAUCAGAGCCAAGAGUCAGGACAUUUUAGGAACCCCAAGAACAUAGAGUAGAACCAGAAACAUUGCUGGGAGCAUUGGCCCCAUGUCAGUCAGGCACAGCUUUAGUAGGUUAACUGGUUUAAUUUUCACAAGAGCCGAAUGGGGCAGGCAUUGUUAUUGGCUCUGAUGGUACCACCCAGAAUAGAAAGAGCACAGAGUUAGUCCAGGGCCUUCACCUACAGAAACCAUGUCACUUUUCAGGUUCCCUGCUCCCAUUUUUUUUUUUCUUUCUAUCUGGUUUUGUUUAUUUCUUGUUUUGUUUUGUUUUGUUUGUUGUUAUUUUGCUUUUUUAAAAAAGUAGUACAUAUAUACAUUUCUAUCUUUCAGGAAGUAAGCAUAGCAGAAUAUCAGUUCAGAUCACUGGGACAGAACAUCAAAUGGUCACAAUGGCAUUAUUGCUUUUCCAAAAUCUCGCUAAUCCUCCAUCAACUGCAGGGUCUACUGUCUUCCUUCUGCUAGAAUCUGGGCAGGACUUAGCGACUGAACUGACACACGAGCAGCUUUAAAGCAAAGGGGACCUGGCUUUUGCCUGGCUUACUAAUUAUCUUAGGACUUGUGUUCUUAGGACCUGUGGUCUUCUGACCACCAUGUUGUAGGGGAAACAGGUCCCAGGUGACAGCCCACCGGUUCAUGAGUGAGACUCUGUGAGGCUGGCCCACCUGUUUGCCUCUCUACCAUGAGGCCCUCAGCAGAAACCCAGGCUAUAUUCUGCUCCACCGUAGGUAUUCUGUUAGCAUCAAAAGAGUGCUGGGAAUUGUGCAAAUGGUAAAUGCAUCGUUUCAGUUGGCUUUGCUCAUUGGAAUUGUGGUACAGUGGUUUUUCACCUCUUGUGUGAAUGUGUGUGCAUAUGUGUCACUACAGUUGUUUGCGAACUAAGAAUAAACCUUGCCUUUAUGUGGUCCAAAAUAGAUAAUGCUUAUCUCUAUACUUAAAAUCUAUAGGAGCCCAGAAUCAAUGGAGGUGACUGAUAAACCAGAAUAUGGGAGUUAUUUACAUUACAAAACAUGGAAAAGUUGGUCAAAACUGAUAGUUAACUUUAAUUAUUUAAUUGUAUUUUGCAUUAUCUAGGCUCUUAAUUAAUUUACCGUGAUGCAUAACAACUUACCCCAAAUUCUGGAGAGAUGGCUCACCAAUUAAGAUCACUGACUGACUACCCUUCCAGAGGACUGAAGUUCAAUCUCCAAUACCCACAUUACAGCUAACAGCCAUCUUUAACUCCACUCCUGGGCAUCUGGUGCUCCCUUCUGGGCACUGUACAUACAUGGUACAUGGUCAUACAUGCAGGCAAAAUACAAAUAAAAAUCCCCUGCAUCCACGCUUAGGAAAGAUUGAAUAUCUCUUCUAGAAAUGCUUACAAUCGGCAGUUUAGAAUCAUUAAUGUUUCAGACUUUAGAGUUUUGUUUUGUUUUUUUGUUUUUGUUUUUGUUUUUGUUUUCUUCAGAUUUUCAAAUACUUGUAUUGUUUUUACUGAUUGGGCAUCCCUAACAUGAAAGUUGAAGCACUCCAAAAAUGCUUUGAAUUUUCACAGUAAGGAUGUUGCGUUUGUAGCUUAGUCAUCUUAGCACAUAAUUCUGUAGGGUGAUCAUUUGAGCUGGAACUGGCUGGUGGACUUCGUCUGGUCCCACUGGCUGCAUUUUUGCAUUGCCAUCCUCUGCCAGGUGUCUGGGGGGAAGAUGGCAUCGAUGGGGUGGCUGCCCUUGGUUCUGCAUAUCUCCACCCUCCAGUCUGAGCUUAUGGACAUGGAAGCACAGCUUGAAGGAGUGGAGAGAGUAGGGCUUAAAAAUAACAGUACGGCUUUCCCACAUCCUGCUGGACUAAGCAAAUAGCAGGACAGGCCAGAUUCAAGAGGUCAGAAAGGUUCAGCGCUUGACGGGAGGGGGAGCUCCUAAGCAACCUAGCAAGGGGAUCUACAGGGAUACAAGGUUGUAAACAAGAGCACAUCCUUGAAAUCUGCAGUACCACAGAACAUGUCAAUAAUCUACUGAGGGAACUAGCAAUGUUACAAAGAGGGAUGAUGGAGAGGAUGCUAUUUGUAUGGUUUAUAACACAUGACAAAUAUCUAAUGGGAUGCUGAGAUGGUCCUAGAGUAGAAAAGCCACACACAGUCCCUCUUAUCCAUUGCACUGUCUGGGAAAGCAGAAUUAAGAUGCUUGGCAGAGAAUAGUUGGGCAACAGGUUCCCCCCCCCCCACUUUGUUCUUUUAUCUUCUUAUUGAUGGGAAUGGGAAUAGUGACAAGUAAUGAGGAUUUGGCAGGCAGAAGGGAGGUU